rnacentral:rRNA from 1 species
GACGUAGGGGGCCAGCGUUGCUCGGAAUUACUGGGUGUAAAGGGUUCGUAGGCGGUGUGGCAAGUCGGGAGUGAAAUCUCUGGGCUCAACCCAGAGUCUGCUUCCGAAACUGCUGUGCUUGAGUGUGGGAGAGGCGCGUGGAAUUGCAGGUGUAGCGGUGAAAUGCGUAGAUAUCUGCAGGAACAUCCGAGGCGAAAGCGGCUCACUGGAUCGCAACUGACGCUGAGAGACGAAAGCUAGGGGAGCAAACAG